rnacentral:lncRNA from 1 species
UCGCAUCGAUGUAUCUUUACCUACACAUUUAUACAGUAUCCAUACCGCGAGUAGCAUGCAAAGUAAUGGAGCUUUUUGUGAACCGCAUGGAAAACUAGUUCCACGCUAUUGUUGCGUCCCAAACGGGGCCAAGCUUUCGCCCCGUGUCAAGCGGCCAGCGCAGUUGCCAUCCAACGCGACCUUGAACUUUCUUGAACCAUAAAAUGGCGGCCAGGAAGUGAUUUUUAGAAAUGUUAUUGAUGAUAUUUGCUGUCUUAUAAGCGAAAUAUGAUGUGGCAUGGGAUACGUUAUCAGCCCGUGGAUACAUAAGGUCUUGCUUGUGCUGGCCGCAGUAGGACACAACAGCCACAGAGAGGUAGAGAUGCUGUCACAGCCUGUUGUCGACAGCCCAGUGCCAUCCAACCUCGACUUGGUAACCAGUGAGAAGUCUUCAGCACUCAUCCUAGUGACAGUCAUGUGUAUCUUGGGUGGAGAGGCACUUUCUGACUUUUCAGAUUGAAAGAUUGUCAAAGUCAGACGUCUGAGUUGGGAACAGCCUGGAUCAGCUGCACAUUGGAGGCCCGCCCCAUCGCCCAGACAUUAAACCUUUCGGUGGACUGUUUAUACCGGAAGAACAAGAUUGUGUCUUCGGAGUGGUCCCUACAUCCCCAAGUCUCCUAGUGGAUAAUGAUGAGUUUGGACACAUGGCAGUAACUAUUUCCAUGUUGUUUUAUUCAGAUGAUGACUUUCAACAAAUGGUGACAUCAAUAAAUGACAAUGCUAACAUCAAACAGCCCCAAGAUCCUGACCACAACAAAGGUGACUGGCACGAUGUUACUGUGGAAGAAAUGAAGGCUUUUGAUGGUGUCUUGAUGUACAUGGAUGUUGCCAGGCUUGACCAGUUAUAGCUGGUUACAGUGUCCAGGAACUGAAGUAUUUUCUAGAUCCAGAUUUGUGCAGAUAAGUAGGUCCUCACCUGUCAAUGAUGACACACCUGUGCCAGGUGACAAAUUGUAAUAAAUCAGAUACAUUCUUGACAGUAUGAGAGCAGCAUUUAGAGUCAUUACAACCUCCACAAGCAAGUGUCAGUGGACAAGGCGAUGGUUCCUUGGGCCUUGCUGGGCAGGUAGUUGUCAAAUUGUGUGAAAACAUAAGGAACAAGGGUCAUUUCAUCUACACAGACAACGUUAUACCAGUGCUACCUUUGGUGACUUUCUGUUGCAUUUAGAGUCAUUACAACCUCCACAAGCAAGUGUCAGUGGACAAGGCGAUGGUUCCUUGGGCCUUGCUGGGCAGGUAGUUGUCAAAUUGUGUGAAAACAUAAGGAACAAGGGUCAUGUCAUCUACACAGACAACGUUUAUACCAGUGCUACCUUUGGUGACUUUCUGUUGCAGAAGGACACGAAUGGCGGGCUACCCCGCUGUUGAUCUCCCUUCAGGUUGAGACACAAAUCACCUGCAGAGAGGGACCAUCGACUGGUGAGCUUGUGGGGACUUUGUUGCUGCCAUGUGGAAGGAUAACAAGGUUGUCUUCGACCUUAGCACAGCACACUCUCCUGAGGAAGACAGUUUGACGGCCAAGAGGAGGAAGAAGGACGGCAGACGUGAAGAAUACUGCCACAUCCAAGGGAGAUAAUCCACUGUCACUGCACGUGCCAAUCAAGCUUCUUCAGUAACCAAUGCCUGGUGAUCAAUCCAAGGUGGAUAAUCCACUUUCAGGGCACCUGCCAAUCAAGAUUCAUCAGUCACCUAUGCCUCUAGGUUCUACUACCCCAAAUCAGAACCAGUUGGGACAGUGCGGUUUUCGUAGCCUUCAGUGCAGAUCACGAAAUGUCUGCAGGCUGUGAUUGGAGGAUAUUGUGUUUUAGCAUGCCUGAUGUUGACUGGGGAGGUAGAUGUGCACUCAUGCAGAAGAAAUAGAAGUUUUCACAUCCAAUUUGGCUUUUGGAGAAGCUGAUCUGAAGUCUGGUCUUGGCAGUGUGUGAUCGACAACCCUUGUUUUGCCUCGCUGCGCUCUAUUACCUUGAAGAAGUUGUGGAACUUGCAGGUGAAGCAAUUCCACACCUCCAUAUCAGUUCUCACCUGUGCAACGCCUUGGCCAUCUUCCGGAGGCAAGGGAAGUAACUGACUAUAAAAGUCCAGUUUCCACCCUUGCCGAACUAUGUUGGAAUUUCGUGGCUGGAUCAUAGCCCAACCAGUGGCUAUUACAAGUUAUGUUCCUUCUGUGUCCCUCCAGCUGACCAAUCAGUUUCCUCCUCCCUCUCAUAGCACUUGCAUUUGCUUCAAACAAUAUGGCUGCGCAUAGUCAAGAUGAUCUGAUCGAUAAUCAAGAUCUAUAUUGUAAUAAAAUGGGUCUUGCCUCGUGAAGCGCAUCAGAUAAUUGGAGUACCAUGAUUAGAAACAUGAAAAGAUUUGGAAAAUAUCUGUCAACAUCCAGUUGACAGUACACAUGCGUUGGAAAUCCUGCAGUCGAACAAAUUCUGCACUUUGAAUCAAUGUUGUUUACGAACCUAGUUUCUUAUGCGAUUUUGAUUGGACUAUGCAAAGACUUGUUAGUCUAGCCACAAUGGAACUCCAGAAUUCCAGCCUAGUUAUACAAGGGUUGAAACGGCUUUUAUAGUCAAUUAACUCCCUUGUUUCGGGAAGAUGACUUUCCUCCUGCUGCCCGAAGAUCAGAAGACACUAUUUAUUUCCUGUUAUCACAUUUUCUGUUACAUGACAGUGCACCCAAGCCCUAGUCGAAGUUGACUUUGCUGGACUCCCGCAGUUGAUGAGAUGAACAGCACUGUGGGCUCUUCCAUGGAAGUUUCGAGCAAAGGUUGUAUCACGAGUAGGAUUUAACAAUGAUUAGUUCAUUGCUGGGACAUUGCUAGAACAUCGCUAGGGCAUUGCUGAGACAUUGCUGGGACAUUGCUGGGACAUCACUGGAACAUCGCUGGGAUAUUAAUGGGAUAUUAAUGGGACAUUGGUGGGACAUAGCUAGGACAUUGCUGGGACAUAGCUCGGACAUUGCUGGGACAUAGAUGGGACAUUGCUGGGACAUCGCUGCGACAUUGCUGGGACAUCGCUGGAACAUCGCUGGGAUAUUAAUGGGACAUAGCUGGGUCAUUGCUGGACAUCGCUGGGACAUUGCUGGAACAUCGCUGGGAUAUUUAAUUGGACAUCGCUGGGACAUUGCUGGAACAUCGCUGGGACAUUGCUGGGACAUUGCUGGAACAUCGCUGGGAUAUUUAAUGGGACAUCGCUGGGACAUUGCUGGGACAUUGUUGGGACAUCGCUGGGACAUUGCUGGGACAUACUUAGCAUGGAGGGGAUCAUCUGGGGCUUUUAAAUAUGGCGUUGAAAUCAACCCAUAAAUGGUCAAAUUCAUGGAUUAAUAAGAAUAAAUUUGUCCAUUUAAAAUUCAAAUUCUGCCCUGUUUGUUUUUCUUGUUGACCUCAAUACACAAAACACAAAUGGCUCCAUCAUUAAGCAACCACCAUUUGGUUUUUAUACCACCGGCAUAUAAUGCGGGGGGAUAUAGCGAUCAGCCAGUCUGUCUGUCUCUCUGUCUGUCCGUCCGUAACCAUUUCCUUUCUGGGGCAGAACUAAAAAACAAUUCAGUGUAUUUGAUCGAAACUUGGCAAAUCUAUCAGUCACAUACUGAAGUCAUGCCUUUUGCU